rnacentral:piRNA from 1 species
UNGGAGCCUGAUCCAGAGAGAAAGAGGGGA